rnacentral:rRNA from 1 species
CUGGCGGCGUGCAUAACACAUUCAAGUCGAACGGUGACGGAGGCUUCGGCCUCCUGAUCAGUGGCGCAAGGGUGAGUAACACGUGGGUAAUCUACCUUCGAGUCUGGAAUAACAGUUAGAAAUGAUUGCUAAUGCCGGAUGAUAUAUAAGAAGAUAUACUUCAUAUAUUAAAAGGUGCCUCAAAGCAUCGCUUGAAGAUGAGCCUGCGCCGUAUUAGAUAGUUGGUGGGGUAACGGCCUACCAAGUCGACGAUCAGUAGCCGGACUGAGAGGUUGAACGGCCACAUUGGGACUGAGACACGGCCCAGACUCCUACGGGAGGCAGCAGUGGGGAAUAUUGCACAAUGGGCGCAAGCCUGAUGCAGCAACGCCGCGUGAGGGAAGACGGUCUUCGGAUUGUAAACCUCUGUCCUUGGUGAAGAAUAAAUGACGGUAGCCUUGGAGGAAGCCACGGCUAACUACGUG